AUAUAUUUUAAUUUUAGGUAAUAAUAUAUACACGAUUACAUGAUUUCUUUUCAAAGCGUGAUUUUGUUUUGAAUUAUUAUUUUACAUUGCCGGCGCUAUAGUUUCCUCCGCCACUGUAUUCACAAGGAGUAACCGAACAAAACGGUACUCUAAAAAUCAAACGACAAGAAAAAAAGGGAAAAUGCAAGAAUGCGCGAGGUCUUUUUCGUUUUCUCGCCACUUUCAUUUUGAUUUUCAAUUGAAAUAUCUGGUGCCUCUGUGAUUUGUGAAAUUAAUAUAUUCUUUGCGGUUUUAAUUUUUAAGGUGGACUUACAUCUACAUACAAGUUGUGUUUUUAGGGUGGACCUAAGAACACAAAUUAAGUGAACAAAAAUGAUCAAUCACGGAACUCCUACGAAGACGUAGGUCAACGGAAAGUACACCAGCUUCCGUGCCAGAAACGCAAGAAAAGCCCACGCAUUCCCGACCUGUACUCUACUAUGUUGCGACCGAGGACAGUUGCGUUUUAGGAGGAAAGAGUUAACACGCAAAAUAAUACAAUUUCCCAGACAGAAGAAAAGAUUGCACAACAAACAGCAAAGCAAUGCCCUCAAUAAAGUUCAAACGAACUUAGCAACGUACGCUGAGCUUGCACCUUUUGGUCAGCGAUCGUGGGAAUCCAGAACAGCCAAUUUCCAAGUUGAUCGAACUCAACUAAUGCAUACAAUAAAAAUUAAGUAUGGCCAACGGCGACGGCGACCAACAGUAGCAACAAAUUAUAUGAAAGAACGUCAGCAGAAACAUCAUCAGCGGCAGACACGGAGGCAGCGUUGGA